GAUGAACGCUGGCGGCGUGCCUAAUACAUGCAAGUCGAGCGAACGGACGAGAAGCUUGCUUCUCUGAUGUUAGCGGCGGACGGGUGAGUAACACGUGGAUAACCUACCUAUAAGACUGGGAUAACUUCGGGAAACCGUAGCUAAUACCGGAUAAUAUUUUGAACCGCAUGGUUCAAAAGUGAAAGACGGUCUUGCUGUCACUUAUAGAUGGAUCCGCGCUGCAUUAGCUAGUUGGUAAGGUAACGGCUUACCAAGGCAACGAUGCAUAGCCGACCUGUGAGGGUGAUCGGCAACACUGGAACUGAGACACGGUCCAGAAUCCUAAGGGAGGCAGCAGUAGGGAAUCUUCCGCAAUGGGCGAAAGCCUGACGGAGCAACGCCGCGUGAGUGAUGAAGGUCUUCGGAUCGUAAAACUCUGUUAUUAGGGAAGAACAUAUGUGUAAGUAACUGUGCACAUCUUGACGGUACCUAAUCAGAAAGCCACGGCUAACUACGUG
rnacentral:rRNA from 1 species